GCUAUUUUUCCGGAAGUAUGAACAGAGCUAAUAGUGGGAGAGCAGGGAAUGCAGGAGAGUCUGAUGAGAAGCUAAGAAGACAAGCACCACGGAGAGUGGUGCCUUAAAAAAAAAAAGGAUUUUUGUAUGUUUAUGCAUUUAGAAUGUGUGUGUGUUUACAAGUAUUCAUGUGUGUGAGCACAGGUGUGUGAGAGUAUAUGUGUGCACAUGUGCAAUGAAGCCAUAGACUGACACUGGGUGUCUUCCUAGGCAUGCUAUGUACUGAGGCAGGGUCUCCUGCUGAGCCAGGAGCGUGACAAUCUGGCUUGUGUGACUAACUAGUCAGCCCAGAAUCCCACACUUCUGGGAUUACAGAAGGGCUGCCAUGGCCACCUGGAUUAUUUGAAUGCUGGGGAUCCAAACCCUGGUGCUUUAGACUGCACAACAACAUUUUAUCACUGAGCAAUCUCCCUGGGACCAGUAAUUAUGCCUUCAACUUCAUCUUUGGAAAUCUAAUCCAAGAAAACAUUCCCUCUCUCAGAAAGAAUAAUAUAGACCCUGCACAUUCGAAGGUUUGGCUGUGUAAUUAUCAUCUUUUUUCAUCUUUUUUUUUCUUUUCUUUUCUUUUCUUUUUUUUCUUUCUUUUUUUUUUUUUUUUUUUUGGUUUUUCAAGUCAGGGUUUCUCUAUGUAGCCCUGGCUAUCCUGGAACUCAAAUUGUAGACCAGGCUGACUGGCCUUGAACUCAGAAAUCCACCUGCCUCUGCCUCCCAAGUGCUGGGACUAAAGGCGUGCGCCACCACCGCCCGGCUCAAUCAUCUUUUAAGAAAGAAACUGACAACAAAAUAAGUAUGCACGGAGCAUGCGACGAGGAAACACAUAACCACUGACUUUCUGUUCUGUAUGAAAUAAUACACAGAUGCCUGUUUUAGAAUUACUGAAGAUUGGCACUGAGAAACGACUUAAUGGUUAGGGACUAAGAGCACUCAGGUUCCCAGAACCAACACCAGGCAGCUUGACAACCACUUGUAACUUAAUUCCAGGGGAUCUAAUGUCCUCACCUGGCCUCUGUGUGUGUGUGUAUGUGUGUGUGUGUGUGUGUGUGUGUGUGUGUGUGUGUGUGUAUGUAUGCGUAUAUGUGUAUAUGUAUGUAUGUGUGUGCAUCACAUGUGUGCCAGUGCCACUGCACUCACACAUACACAUAAAAUUAAAAUGAAUUUUAAAAUAUAAAAUCCUGGGGAUGAAGUAUAUGGAUAAGUGAUAAGGGAUAGAUGAAACUUGAUUGGUUCUGUGUUUAUAAUUAUCACUAUUGGUGAUGGGUAUAUGCAGUCUUAGUUUAUUAAUCUCUCUAUGUUUGAAAAUGUCCAUAAUACCAAGAUACACAUAUUUAUGCAGAAGGGUAACAUGGAGCCUGUAUCUAUCUCACAUUCCUGUAAGGUAACACUGUAGCUUUGUAAGUUUUGGCUUGCAUCCUUAACAGCAACUGAGGAUACUAUCAAAACAAAAUCCAGUCCAUUUCAAAACUGACAGUUCUUCUCUCCUCUUUCAGGAUCCACCCUGGUCACUCCUGGCCUGUGAGUGACACAGUACCUGAGAGGAGGGACACUCCUGUCUAGCUAGGGAGCUUUUCCUAGGUGACAUUUCGUCAGCAGAGAAGAAAAUUGCUUUCCAUCUUCUCUUUCUAGGUAGAUCUCUAAUCCUCGCCGCUCACAAAACCGCAGCUCAGCAGCACUAACUUCCUGACAAGGACAAUGCAGUCUGGAGGACUGCGACAGUAGGCAUGGGGACUGCCUGCCUCUGCCGCCUUGGGCAGGUGAAUUUAAAGCCAGACACUUAGCUCUGUGGUGAGUGUGGGCUGUAACAGAUGCUCUGGAGGGAAAGUCAGCACUG
rnacentral:lncRNA from 1 species